rnacentral:rRNA from 5 species
GAAGUAAAAGUCGUAACAAGGUCUCCGUUGGUGAACCAGCG